rnacentral:rRNA from 1 species
GAUGAACGCUAGCGUCAGGCCUACUACAUGCAAGUUGAGGGAGAAUGUUGGAAUCGUCUGACAUGAAACCGGCGCACGGGUGCGUAACACGUAUGCAACCUACCUUUAACUGGGGUAUAGCUCAGAGAAAUCUGAAUUAAUCCCCCAUAAGACUACGACAUGGCAUCAUGAUGUAGUUAAAGCUCCGGCGGUUAAGGAUGGGCAUGCGGUACAUUAGCUAGUUGGUGAGGUAAUGGCUCACCAAGGCUACGAUGUAUAGGGGGUCUGAGAGGAUGAUCCCCCAGACUGAGACUGAGACACGGACCAGACGCCUACGGGAGGCAGCAGUAGGGAAUAUUGGUCAAUGGUCGCAAGUCUUAACCAGCCAUGCCGCGUGCAGGAUGAAAGCCCUAUGAGUCGUAAACUUCUUUUAUUAGAGAAGAAAAAACUGGAUGCGUCCUGUACUGACGGUACUUAAUGAAUAAGGAACGGCUAACUUCGUGCCAGCAGCCGCGGUAA